GAGGCGUGGCCGCCAGGCUGAGGAGUGUUCAAAUAGGCCUUGUACUUGCCGAUCAUAACUUUCGGUGGAAUAUUCUGCUUUUGUGGUGCUUUUUGCGAUUCCUCCCAGCUUGGUGUAUCCAGCUUGUCUCCAGGAGGGAGCCACUUGCGGUUGGGAAAUGGUCCGAGUGGAUGAACCGCAGCGGAGCGUCCUCAUACACAGCGUGCAGGGUCGAGGACAGCCGGCCCCACAUGUCAGUGGUCUAGGAUGGCCAGUGAGGGCGCCAGCAUCCCGAGUCCUGUGGUACGCCAGAUUGACAAGCAGUUUCUGAUCUGCAGUAUAUGCCUGGAACGGUACAAGAACCCCAAGGUCCUGCCCUGUCUGCACACUUUCUGCG
rnacentral:lncRNA from 1 species